CACUAAGAAGCUAAAGGGGGUCGAGCGUUAGCCUUUUAAGCUAAAGAAUGGUGGUCCCCAACCACCCCUAGUGA
rnacentral:tRNA from 1 species